UAGGGAGUUUUCGGCAAUGGGGGGAACCCUGACCGAGCAACGCCGCGUGAGUGAUGAAGGUCUUCGGAUUGUAAAGCUCUGUUGUAAAGAACGAAUUGUAGGCCGAGGAAAUGCGGUCUAUUUGACGGUACUUUAUUAGAAAGCCACGGCUAACUACGUGCCAGCAGCCGCGGUAAUACGUAGGUGGCAAGCGUUAUCCGGAAUUAUUGGGCGUAAAGAGUGAGCAGGUGGUUGUCUAAGUCUGAAGUCAAAUGCAGUGGCUUAACCACUGUUCGCUUCGGAAACUAGGCGACUAGAGUACGAGAGAGGUAUGUGGAAUUCCAUGUGUAGCGGUGAAAUGCGUAGAUAUAUGGAGGAACACCAGUGGCGAAGGCGGCAUACUAGCUCGAUACUGACACUCAGUCACGAAAGCGUGUGUAGCAAAUAGG
rnacentral:rRNA from 1 species